GGAUUCCCCUAGUAACGGCGAGUGAAGCGGGAAGAGCUCAAAUUUUAAAUCUGGCGUCCUUCGGGCGUCCGAGUUGUAAUCUAGAGAAGUGUUUUCCGCGUUGGACCCACCAUAAGUUACCUCGAACGGUACAUCAUAGAGGGUGAGAAUCCCGUGUGUUGGUGGGAAGCCCAGUGCUCUGCGAUGCGCUCUCGACGAGUCGAGUUGUUUGGGAAUGCAGCUCAAAAUGGGAGGUAAAUUCCUUCUA
rnacentral:rRNA from 1 species